rnacentral:rRNA from 1 species
UGGGGAAUAUUGGACAAUGGGCGAAAGCCUGAUCCAGCCAUGCCGCGUGUGUGAAGAAGGUCUUCGGAUUGUAAAGCACUUUAAGUUGGGAGGAAGGGCAUUAACCUAAUACGUUAGUGUUUUGACGUUACCGACAGAAUAAGCACCGGCUAACUCUGGGCCAGCAGCCGCGGUAAUACAGAGGGUGCAAGCGUUAAUCGGAAUUACUGGGCGUAAAGCGCGCGUAGGUGGUUUGUUAAGUUGGAUGUGAAAGCCCCGGGCUCAACCUGGGAACUGCAUCCAAAACUGGCAAGCUAGAGUACGGUAGAGGGUGGUGGAAUUUCCUGUGUAGCGGUGAAAUGCGUAGAUAUAGGAAGGAACACCAGUGGCGAAGGCGACCACCUGGACUGAUACUGACACUGAGGUGCGAAAGCGUGGGGAGCAAACA